rnacentral:lncRNA from 1 species
UGAGUGGAAGACAGAGGAUGAAUGCUGGGGAAAACUGGUCAUGUCUGCUCUAGCAAGCUAUGUCAUGCCCACCAUCCCUGAUAUAUAACCACUGUGAGCGUGGCUGCCCUCGGUACUGUGAUGGAAACACUAGCUUCUGUGGCGACCACCCCUCAGAAGGCUGCUUCUGCCCCCAACACCAAGUCUUGCUGGAAGGCAGCUGUGUCCCCGAAGAGGCCUGCACUCAGUGUGUUGGGGACGAUGGAGUCCGACAUCAGUUCCUAGAGACCUGGGUCCCAGACCAUCAGCCCUGUCAGAUCUGUAUGUGCCUCAGUGGGAGGAAGAUUAACUGCACUGCACAGCCAUGUCCCACAGCCCGGGCUCCCACCUGUGGCCCUUGUGAAGUGGCUCGUCUCAAGCAGAGUGCAGACCUGUGCUGCCCAGAGUAUGAGUGUGUGUGUGACCUGGUCAACUGCAACUUGCCACCAGUGCCUCCGUGUGAAGGAGGACUCCAGCCAACCCUGACCAACCCUGGAGAAUGCAGACCCACCUUUACCUGUGCCUGCAGGAAAGAAGAGUGCAAAAGAGUGUCCCCACCCUCCUGCCCCCCUCACCGGACACCCACCCUUCGGAAGACCCAGUGCUGUGAUGAGUAUGAAUGCACUUGCAGCUGUGUCAACUCCACGCUGAGCUGCCCACUUGGCUACCUGGCCUCGGCCACCACCAAUGACUGUGGCUGCACCACAACCACCUGUC